AAGGAGUCUAACGCCUAUGCAAGUGUUUGGGUGUAAAAACCGUACGCGUAAUGAAAGUGAACGUAGGUGAGAGCCUUUUAGGUGCAUCAUCGACCGAUCCUGAUGUCUUCGGAUGGAUUUGAGUAAGAGCUUAGCUGUUGGGACACGAAAGAUGGUGAACUAUGCCUGAAUAGGGUGAAGUCAGAGGAAACUCUGAUGGAGGCUCGUAGCGAUACUAACGUGCAAAUUGUUCGUCGGACUUGGGUAUAGGGGCGAAAGACUAAUCGAACCAUCUAGUAGCUGGUUCCCUC
rnacentral:misc_RNA from 1 species